rnacentral:rRNA from 1 species
ACGGGGGGUGCAAGCGUUAAUCGGAAUUACUGGGCGUAAAGCGUGCGUAGGUGGUUUUGUAAGUUGGCUGUGAAAGCCCCGGGCUCAACCUGGGAUGGUCAGUCAAAACUACAAGACUAGAGUACAAUAGAGGGGUGUGGAAUUUCCGGUGUAGCGGUGAAAUGCGUAGAGAUCGGAAGGAACACCAGUGGCGAAGGCGGCACCCUGGAUUGAUACUGACACUGAGGUACGAAAGCGUGGGGAGCAAACAGG